UAAUGGAAGAAGUGCAGGGGGGUUGCUUAUUGGUGCUGUUGUGAACAUGAGACCUGAUUUAUUUAAGGCUACUGUAGCUGGAGUACCAUUUGUAGAUGUUGUGACUACAAUGCUUGGUCCAACUAUUCCUCUUACAACUGCAGAAUGGGAGGAAUGGGGUGAUCCUCGGAAAGAAGAGUUCUACUUUUACAUGAAAUCAUAUUCACCAGUUGACAAUGU